AAGUGAAGAAAGAUAGAUGUGUUUUGGCUUAUGAUGGCAUAUCAGCUGAAGAUCUUGAGUUCCCUGUAACAAAUAUAUCCGAUCAUCAAAAGGAUACAUCUCUGAAAGACACCAGCUUAUCCCCUGUUACUAGGUCAGCCGCAGAUGAAAGAGAAGAAAGGAAUCCUAAUCAUGCCUCCACGGAAGAAGAGGUUAGGGGUACAGAGGUUUGUUUACCAGCCUCGUUGAAUACUCAGUGCAGUCAGCAGGGCUCUUUAGAUGCGAAAAGGAAAACAACGCUGCUAGAAGCAAAACAAGGAAACUGAAAAUGUUGACAGCAAGUGGCAGGGUAGCUAAUACAACCGAAGAAAGUGUUUCCGUAGACUCCCUCAAUUUGGGAAUCCAGCAAGGGAAUGUUCGGUAUCAGAUAACUUGCAAUAAUAAUCAAGCUGACGGUUUUGAUAAAGAAAAGGAGUUUCAGGAAAUGAUACAAGAUGCAGUUACUCUGGGUUUGGGGAAUCCUCGGGAUCUCACAGCGUAUGAAGAUGGAAUCUGGAGCAAUAUUGACAGAGAAGUGAAUGAAUGGAUAUCGAUCAACCGACUGUGAUACGACCAGGACCCGAUCCGUGACCGGACAAGGACAUCCCAUGGAAGGAGUAGGUAAGUGAUUUCCACCCCCUUCUAGCAUAACGUUAGUUUUUGAAGUGAAUUUAUUACGAAGGAUCUAUUGUUGUGCUAUAUGGAAUGCUAAAUUGUCACGAAUGGUGUAUGAGCAUUACAAAGGAUUUACCGUUGUAUUAUAAUGAAUGUUAAUUAUCACGAAUGGUUGUAUAAGUAUUACAAAGGAUCUAUCGUUGCAUUAUAUUGAAUGUUAGUUGUUACGAAUGGUUAUAUGAGUAUUGUGAAGGAUCUAUUAUUGUGCAUACAUAGUGCUAAAUUGUUACAAAUUUUUGUAUAAGUAUUACGAAGGAUCUAUCGUUGUAUUAUGCUGAAGGUUAUUUGUCACGAAUGUUUAUAUGAGUACUGCGAAGGAUCUAUUAUUAUGCAGACAUAAUGCUAAAUUGUUAUGAAUUUUUGUAUGAGUGUUACGAGGAUCUAUUGUUGUAUUGUAUUGAACAUUAACUGUAAUGAAUGGUUAGAUAAGUAAUACGAAGGAUCUACUAUUGUGUUAUACUAAA